rnacentral:rRNA from 1 species
CCUACGGGGGGCAGCAGUGGGGAAUAUUGGACAAUGGGGGCAACCCUGAUCCAGCCAUGCCGCGUGUGUGAAGAAGGCCCUCGGGUUGUAAAGCACUUUCAGUGAGGAAGAACGCCUGGUGGUUAAUACCCAUCAGGAAAGACAUCACUCACAGAAGAAGCACCGGCUAACUCCGUGCCAGCAGCCGCGGUAAUACGGAGGGUGCGAGCGUUAAUCGGAAUUACUGGGCGUAAAGCGCGCGUAGGUGGCUUGAUAAGCCGGUUGUGAAAGCCCCGGGCUCAACCUGGGAACGGCAUCCGGAACUGUCAAGCUAGAGUGCAGGAGAGGAAGGUAGAAUUCCCGGUGUAGCGGUGAAAUGCGUAGAGAUCGGGAGGAAUACCAGUGGCGAAGGCGGCCUUCUGGACUGACACUGACACUGAGGUGCGAAAGCGUGGGUAGCAAACAGGAUUAGAUACCCGAGUAGUA